CCUACGGGAGGCAGCAGUAGGGAAUCUUCCACAAUGGGCGAAAGCCUGAUGCAGCAACGCCGCGUGAGGGAAGAAGGUCUUCGGAUCGUAAAACCCUUUUGUUCGAGAAGAAAGUGCGUGAGAGUAACUGUUCACGUUUCGACGGUAUCUAACCAGAAAGCCACGGCUAACUACGUGCCAGCACCCGCGGGAAUACGUAGGUGGCAAGCGUUGUCCGGAUUUGUUGGGGGUAAAGGGAACGCAGGCGGUCUUGUAAGUCUGAUGGGAAAGCCUUGGGCUUAACCGGAGUAGUGCAUUGGAAACUGGGGGACUUGAGUGCAGAAGAGGAGAGUGGAACUCGAGGUGUAGCGGUGAAAUGCGUAGAUAUAUGGAAGAACACCAGUGGCGAAAGCGGCUCUCUGGUCUGUAACUGACGCUGAGGUUCGAAAGCGUGGGUAGCAAACAGGAUUAGAUACCCUUGUAGUC
rnacentral:rRNA from 1 species